UGUUAGAGGUGCUGUUUAUAAAUAGUAAUAAAUAGGAGUCGACAGGCAAAGAUCAUUUAUGAAAGGUAUAACAGCCGAAGGAAUAACUUAUGUAAAGGGUUAUUUCUGGGUAUGCAUAUAAUAUAUGCAUAACUGUCACGGAAGUGGAGUGCUA
rnacentral:ncRNA from 1 species